rnacentral:rRNA from 1 species
CUACGGAGGGUGCAAGCGUUACUCGGAAUCACUGGGCGUAAAGCGCGCGCAGGCGGCUAUUUAAGUUGGAUGUGAAAGCCUACGGCUCAACCGUAGAACUGCAUCCAAAACUAUUUAGCUAGAGUGUGGGAGAGGAAGAUGGAAUUAGUUGUGUAGGGGUAAAUCCGUAGAGAUAACUAGGAAUACCAAAAGCGAAGGCAAUCUUCUGGAACACUACUGACGCUGAGGCGCGAAAGCGUGGGGAGCAAACAGGAUUAGAAACCCGAGUAGUCC